AGCAUAUCAAUAAGCGGAGGAAAAGAAACCAACAGGGAUUGCCCUAGUAACGGCGAGUGAAGCGGCAACAGCUCAAAUUUGAAAUCUGGCCCUCGGGUCCGAGUUGUAAUUUGUAGAGGAUGCUUUUGGUGCAGUGCCUUCCGAGUUCCUUGGAACAGGACGCCUUAGAGGGUGAGAGCCCCGUACGGUUGGACACUAAGCCUCUGUAAAGCUCCUUCGACGAGUCGAGUAGUUUGGGAAUGCUGCUCUAAAUGGGAGGUAAAUUUCUUCUAAAGCUAAAUACCGGCCAGAGACCGAUAGCGCACAAGUAGAGUGAUCGAAAGAUGAAAAGUACUUUGAAAAGAGGGUUAAAUAGCACGUGAAAUUGUUGAAAGGGAAGCGUUUAUGACCAGACCUUUGUCUGGCGGAUCAUCCGGUGUUCUUCACCGGUGCACUUCGCCAGGCUCAGGCCAGCAUCGAUUUCUGUAGGGGGAUAAAAACCAUGGGAACGUAGCUCUCUCCGGGGAGUGUUAUAGCCCUAGGUACAAUACCUUUACGGGGAUCGAGGUUCGCGCUUCUGCAAGGAUGCUGGCGUAAUGGUCAUCAACGACCCGUCUUGAAACACGGACCAAGGAGUCGAACAUUUAUGCGAGUGUUUGGGUGUUAAACCCUCACGCGUAAUGAAAGUGAACGGAGGUGAGAGCCCGUACGGGUGCAUCAUCGACCGAUCCUGAUGUCUUCGGAUGGAUUUGAGUAAGAGCAUAACUGUUCGGACCCGAAAGAUGGUGAACUAUGCGUGGAUAGGGUGAAGCCAGAGGAAACUCUGGUGGAGGCUCGCAGCGGUUCUGACGUGCAAAUCGAUCGUCAAAUCUGCGCAUGGGGGCGAAAGACUUAUCGA
rnacentral:rRNA from 1 species